AGGUUAACGGCCCUUAUUCUUCUGUGUCCCACGUCUCAACAGAGCCCCUUCCUCCUCCACCCAGGGGAGGCCCAACUGCACCAGGCCAUUCCACUGCUUCAGGACGCAACUGUGCAGAGAUGGGGUCUUGCUCUGUCACCUAGGCUGGAGUGCAGUAGCAUGAUAUGGCUCACUGCAGCCUCAAACUUGUGGGCUUAAGCGAUCCUCCUGCCUGCCUUCUGAGUAGCUAGGACUACAGAGCAUCAAGACAAAAAUCUCAGUCUUCGAGGAACUCACAGUGUAGCAGAAAAGACAAAGGAGGUAAACAGGAGGAGCAUGAAUAAUUCAUCUUGAUGUAAUCAUGCAAGACUCCUAAGAAGAUGUUAGGAGACCCUGUCAUCAUUCUUUUGGCCUCUAGUGUCCUUUAUCUUCAUGUUUGCUGGCUUCCUUUUACUACUAUGGAAAUACAACAUAUGCAAAAGUAGUGUUUUCACUGUUUAAAAACAUCGUCAGCAGCAUCAUCAUCAUUAACUGCACCAGGAAGCCAUGACUCCUUUCUGGACAAGGUGCACUUGCCUGUCAUCCUUCCAUCUCUUUCUUCCUCCUUGAAGUUCACAAUACCCAGUCCAGGAGCAUUGCAGAGAAUGCUAGGUGUGUCUGCAGACUUGACUUUAAAAGAAAACAAGUUCCUUCAAGUGAGUUCAUCAUGAUGGGAAUGAUAAUUUGUUUGAGAGAAUGUGUGUUCUUUGGCAAAGGAACUCCUGUUAUACCAUGACAGUAAUAAUAGCAGUAAUAAAAUCACCAAUAAUAAAUUUACUUUUGAAUUUA
rnacentral:lncRNA from 1 species